CCUACGGGUGGCUGCAGUGAGGAAUAUUGGUCAAUGGGCGGAAGCCUGAACCAGCCAAGUCGCGUGAGGGAUUAAGGCCCUGCGGGUCGUAAACCCCUUUUGCCGGGGAGCAGAGGUCCGGACGUGUCCGGGCCGGGAGAGUACCCGGAGAAAAAGCAUCGGCUAACUCCGUGCCAACAGCCGCGGUAAUACGGAGGAUGCGAGCGUUAUCCGGAUUUAUUGGGUUUAAAGGGAGCGUAGGCCGGUCUUUAAGCGUGCCGUGAAAUUUUGUGGCUCAACCAUGAGAGUGCGGCGCGAACUGGAGACCUUGAGUGCGCGGAAGGCAGGCGGAAUUCGUGGUGUAGCGGUGAAAUGCUUAGAUAUCACGAAGAACCCCGAUUGCGAAGGCAGCCUGCCGCAGCGUUACUGACGCUGAAGCUCGAAAGCGCGGGUAUCGAACAGGAUUAGAUACCCUUGUAGUC
rnacentral:rRNA from 1 species